CUCGAGCACCUCCAUUUACGGUGGUAACAACUUACACACACGCAGACGACAUGCAUUGUACCCAAAAGUUUUGAAAUCCCUAUUUUCUCUAUGUGUGUAUGUGUGUUAAGUCUAACAAAAAGAUAAGAUCAACUACCGUAAAUCCACUCGCUAAAUUGCCAGAUCUUCUAAAGGUUCUUUUUGGGCAACCCAUAUGGCAUGAAAAUUAUUGUAUAACCGACGUCGGUCCCAGCAAGCAGGCCUCGGGCCUGAUAUAGCUCUCUCUCUCUCUUUUUCUCCCUAGAACAUGGGUCUAGUUUGACCUCAUUCCGUAGACUGUGGUCAGCCCUGGAUACAUCUGAGAUAUAUAAAAUAAAAAUAAACAGCCACGUUUUCAAUACAUCACAAAAAUGACACGCAUAACAAAGUAAAGAUCGAUUUGGACGUUAUGGCUGUGCAAACAAAUCGAUUACUUCGCAGCUAUUUGUUUUUAUCUACAAAUAACAAAAGACAACCUUUGUUCUGUAACCAGUUCCCGCCACCCGCCUCUUUAGCAGACAUAAAAGUCGAUAAAAAAGAACAGACAAUCGACCCACUACUUAAAACUUGGCCACGUCAAUCAAUUGGUAACUAGUCCAACAACAAUUAAAAAAAGGUAAAGUUUACCGACAACUCGAUGAAUGCCAAUUAAAGCCACUUUGCUCGCACGGAUGGGCUUCGCUCUUGUUCGGGCAUUCGCAACGGCAAUUGUUUUUUGAGUAGACCUAGAAAUGCAAAUUAGAAAAGUAGUUAAUUCAUUUGUUGCCGAACGUAGCAGACGAUGCAUGAUUUUUUUUUACUUGCACUUGUUGACAGUCUUUCUCAGUCACCAGACAAGCGCAUUUACAGUUAACGUGCUCCUCGACUUCGAACGUCAGACACUGUGUACGUCCUCCUUGUUUGAAAACCCACACCUGGCGAAAAAGAUUAAGUGUAAACAAAAAACAACCACACAAGCAAACAAACUAAAAUAUGCAAGACAACGUUGUGCUGAAUGUUGGGGACAUUUUCCAUGUUCGCAUCGCUUCACUUCUACGUAACCGGGAUGAACCUGUAAAUUUAAUGAAAUCUAGCUAUGGCCUGCUAAUCUUUUAGCUGAGUUACCAUGGAGAAGCCUUCAGGUACUUCUAUUUUUACUAGUUUCCACCUGGAUGAUAGAAGUUAUACUUAAUACCCCCAUUAUAUGUUAGAAGAACAAACGAUAAAAUAAGCAAACCGUUAGCCACAGGGUUUACGGCAGUAAUUUCACGGCCCCAACGCUCCCAAUUUAUCUAGUCAAUGAAAAGUCAUUAUUAAUUCGUUUAAAUAUAAUGGCAAAACAAAUAGUACCUCAUUGAAGAGCGUGGACGGGCUUUCCCAUAAGGCGUUUAUCGAUUGCUGGUUUAAGUUUGCAUUCCCUCUGGAAAGUAAUUCCGAACAGACGAAACCGAUCAAUAUCCAGUAAACGAAAAUGAAGGACAUCUUUGGAUGCAUUCCCUUGACCUUUCUCCUUUGACAAUCAAAGAUGUAUGAGAAACUGUAAAAUUUAUAGAGUAUUAAGAAUCGGCUACGUCUACGUCCGAUAAAGGUUUGGUUGAAAAGUUGGUCGUUUCCACCAUUCAAGUAGACGGCGGAAACCACAUUUGCCUCAUAUGAAGGAGAAAAAUUAUAUGCCCUGAUAGUAUGCGCGAUAAGCGUAAGGAUACUAAAAAAAAACAAAAUAACAAUAACAAUAAAUGUAUGGUUUAGAAAAAGGUAUGUAUUUGCGGACAAGUUCUCAUCGUCAGAUAAAUCAUUAAGCCAUAUUAAAGUCGUCUCUCUGAAAUGGAAAAAAAUUUAACUUUGAUUACCAUCGUACUACGGAAUGAGAUCAAAAAGCUUAUGGCUACCAUUUCAUUGUAUUCCAUAAUGUGUUUCUUGAUAGCAGACGAGUCCACCCAUGUCACAAAGUCUUCCAUAUUUCUGGUAAUAGGGAAAUACAAUGCCUUUAUCAGAAAAUCUUAUGACAGGAAAUGGGUUGAGUUAUACCUGGUUACUAAAAAUGCUGGAUCUUUAACCACUUCCGGGCCAACCCUAAUGUGGCCUUGUUCUACAAAUGUUGUUGCAGUCUUGAUAGAAUCUGCCAUCUUUGCCCUAACCAUCACCACAGGAAGUCUUCUACGGCAGAAGGCUGAUGCUGUUAUGUGUGAAACCAGAUCAAGCGACCACUUGGUUUGAAUCAAACCCAUGGAAUAUCUGAUAAUUGAAUAUUAAGAUUAAGGUCAAACAACUUUCAGCUUUGACAUGAAAACAAGUUACAGUUUUUCCAAAACGGCUGCACUGCACUCCACUCUGAAUGGAUCUUUUGGAUCAAGCUCUUUAAUUUUGUUUGCCAACUUUUGUAUAUGUAGUACAAGUGUGCAAUACCUAAAUGUAACAAUAAGUUGUCAAAAUGUAUUCUAAUUAUUUUUGUGUUUCAAUCUUACUUUGUGUAAUCUUCUCGCUUUUGAAUUCUAUAUCUUUUAAGGACCUGAACCUCAUGAAUGUUAUUGUCAAGCUUCCACGAAAUGAAGUCAACCUUUUUCAGCAACUUCUGUUCAUGGUAUUUCAAUUUUCGCACCAUUGUGCUUUAUCACUUCAAGAAAGCAAAUGCUUAACGGAUAAUUUCACUCGAUACCAACUGCAAAAACAAGAAAAACCUUUUGUAAAUAGCACGGACUUAACCUAACGAAGUUCCUGCAAUGCGCUCGACAACUACAUCAGCAGACGAUAGCAGCCUUGACACGUGCUUAACUGUCUAUGAAUAUCUCAUCAAGCACUAGGUGGCAGCAUGUUACAAUAUAGAAUUGUUCAACUAGUGGCAGCUUGACUACGUAAAAUGGCGGAAGCUUGCUUAUGCAACAGCAUCUGUUUCAAGGCGAAAGCUUCGUCCCUCAAGGUGGCCACUUGAGCUCUUAAGACUGAAUUCUCCUUCUGUCAAAUUACAUGAAAAGAAAAGGAAAAAAAGGAGCUUACUGCAAGAUUGUUACGACGUCGACGCUCGAAAUAUUUGCCAUCUUUCAAAUCAUCUGGAAUAGGUUUUUUCUCGCUCCUCGGUCUUCUCAUUGUGGCUGAAGCCAAGGCUUUUGCAACCAGGUGGGAAGGAUCAGGUGAGGACGAUAAAGAACUAUUGGCAAUAUCUGGUUGGUGGAGUUCAGAUUUGUUUUGCUGUUGCGCUAACAAAUCCCGCUGGAAGGAGAAAGCCGCUGCCAUGGCGUGCAUCAGCUGUGAUGAAUCCGGAUGAUGUUGAUAGUGCGGAGGAGUGGGUGAAUCGUCACGGUGGUUACUGCGGCUGGACAGGUCGGCGGGAGAUUCAUCUUCAACUGAUGAUGAAGAGCUGGUGACCUCACUUCUUUCGUCAUUCAACGACAUACUUAAGUUAACUGGAACGUUAGCACCAACACCUUGACUGUUAAAAAUUGCCUGUUGCAGUAACGCGUUCAAGAUCGAAUUCUUGGUCUCCAUCUCCGAUUGACCACUUCUGACCGAGCCGGUAACACUCGAGUAACUGACGACGGAUGAUUUCGAUAUUGGGGUAAGAUCCAAGGAGGACGACCAAUGAAUGUCGACGAGUUGAUGACAUGACCUUCUUCCAAUGAACUGAGCUUAAGUUGUUUUAAGUCAUCGACCUACUCCCCCAGUAGUAGGUCUUCCUUACUAUACCACUAACACUUUUCAUCCAGUUUCCUUUACUACAUUCAAGGUCAUCGUCGACAAUAUUGGGUGGCACAAGUGCUAGGGUCAUCUAUGUGGGUGAAAUGACCUCACAAGAGAUAGAUGACCUCGAAUGACCCAUUGCGUUAAGAACCUGACCCACAUUUUCUUUUCAGCUAGGCAGUAGAAAAGAAAGCUCCUCAUGUCCCCGACGGCCGAACAUACGUUUUGACCUGAAAGUGACCUUUUUUUUCUCCUACUGGUCUCUACCAAGAGACUUCAUUUGAAACUCAUUAGAUUCGGACAUUUGCCUGGUAAUCGUUUACUCGCAAAGCUGAAUAAACUGUAGCAAUUAUUUUGGCAAGUAAUGCUCUUUAAAAGCUUCGACGAUCUGCCUGCCUAUUGGGACAUUGACUAUGCUUUCACUCGCGAAAUAGUCAAGCAUACUCUUGCUUGACAUCUCAAGGGAACCCUGUGCAUCUGGAUGCGAAUGGCGAAAAGAAAAUAAGGGGGGAAAUUGAAUUCUGAGAAUCCACGUGUGUUGUUGAAUUCUUUUAUACCCCUUUCUCCAUGCCCUUAAAUUUAACCACUCCUCUUUUCCGGAAGCUAUUUUCAUGCACUGUUUUCAUCUUUACCUCAACUCGGCUUUUCACUAGGCGCUUCUGGCGUUUUCCCUUUUAUUGAGAUGUAUGCCAAAUGUUUUAAAGUUUAUGCAAGCCAUUCUUGUGGCUAAUACCAUGACGUCCGCCAUUCCGUUGCUUAUUCCAGUUCCAAAAAAGCUACUGGUCCAUGUGGAUUGAACACGUCAAGUAUUUAGUCUCUACUGGAAAACGUGAAUAUUUUAGUUUCUGUUGCGAAUAAUUUAAUAAGUAAUUAUCGUUACACUUUCAAUCAAUCGGGAAAGAGUGCGGCAUUCCCCCUCCCAAACAAGAACCAGGUAUUUUCUUAGCUGAAUUACACCAAUUCAUGUUACACGUGUUCACUCAUGUGAUGAAAUUGCUUGUGGAUGGCAUCACCACUUAGUAAGAUAAUAAAAGAAAUAUCGAAAUUUAA